AGCUUUAAUCUAAAGCUCCACCAUGGGAAGUCUCACAGAGCUAAAAUAGGAGGUCUCUGAAGAGCUUUAAUUUCAAACCCAGGAUCUGGAGCUCUGGUUCAGGGAUGCUGACUUCUAUUCCUGUUACUGUUCUGCUGGGUGAGCUACCAGCUUGCUUUGUCAUUCUGUGCCUCCAUUUCCCUGUCCAUUGAAUGAAGGAAAUGUUUUAACCGUAUAAUCAAGAUCCGUAAUCAUGUAAGCUAAC